AGCUGUAAACAAAACACGCAUAACCCCUUGAUGACUGUCAGACGCUGUAUGAUCGGUUAGUUUACUGUCGGCCAUUUUGCUUCUGUCAGUCAUCAAAGGGU